rnacentral:rRNA from 1 species
AUGGAGGCGAUAAAUACCGAUUUCAGCGACAGUUCCCGCAGCCAACAACUGAAGGACGAAGAUAGGCUCAGCAUGCUGACUGAUGAUAUUUUACUGUCCAUCUUGGGGAGAGUCAGCUCAUGUAUGGCUGCAAGGACAAGUGUGCUCUCUACACGGUGGAAGCAUCUGCCUUGGUUGCUGCCUGAGCUCAGCAUCGAUGUGAAGGAUUUCCUAUCUGCUCCGUGCGCCGAACCUAUUGAGGAAAAUGAUAUGGAACAAGCUAUGAAGUCUUUGACGAAAGCAACCAGGAGUUUGUUGGAUAAACAACAGAGAUAA